UGCGUAGCUCAGUUGGUUAGAGCGUGGGACUCAUAAGCCCGAGGUCGCUGGUUCAACUCCAGCCGC
rnacentral:tRNA from 1 species